rnacentral:rRNA from 1 species
AUUGAACGCUGGCGGCAGGCCUAACACAUGCAAGUCGAGCGGAUGAGUGGAGCUUGCUCCAUGAUUCAGCGGCGGACGGGUGAGUAAUGCCUAGGAAUCUGCCUGGUAGUGGGGGACAACGUUUCGAAAGGAACGCUAAUACCGCAUACGUCCUACGGGAGAAAGUGGGGGAUCUUCGGACCUCACGCUAUCAGAUGAGCCUAGGUCGGAUUAGCUAGUUGGUGAGGUAAAGGCUCACCAAGGCGACGAUCCGUAACUGGUCUGAGAGGAUGAUCAGUCACACUGGAACUGAGACACGGUCCAGACUCCUACGGGAGGCAGUAGUGGGGAAUAUUGGACAAUGGGCGAAAGCCUGAUCCAGCCAUGCCGCGUGUGUGAAGAAGGUCUUCGGAUUGUAAAGCACUUUAAGUUGGGAGGAAGGGCAGUAAGUUAAUACCUUGCUGUUUUGACGUUACCAACAGAAUAAGCACCGGCUAACUUCGUGCCAGCAGCCGCCGCGG